rnacentral:rRNA from 1 species
GAUGAACGCUGGCGGCGUGCUUAACACAUGCAAGUCGAACGGAAAGGCUCCUGCUUGCAGGGGUACUCGAGUGGCGAACGGGUGAGUAACACGUGGGUGAUCUGCCCUGCACUUCGGGAUAAGCCUGGGAAACUGGGUCUAAUACCGGAUAGGACGAUGGUUUGGAUGCCAUUGUGGAAAGUUUUUCGGUGUGGGAUGAGCUCGCGGCCUAUCAGCUUGUUGGUGGGGUAAUGGCCUACCAAGGCGUCGACGGGUAGCCGGCCUGAGGGUGUACGGCCACAUUGGGACUGAGAUACGGCCCAGACUCCUACGGGAGGCAGCAGUGGGGAAUAUUGCACAAUGGGCGCAAGCCUGAUGCAGCGACGCCGCGUGGGGGAUGACGGCCUUCGGGUUGUAAACUCCUUUCGCUAGGGACGAAGCGUUUUGUGACGGUACCUGGAGAAGAAGCACCGGCUAACUACGUG